GGCCGAGAGGGCGGGGAGGGCGGGCGGCCCGGAGCUCCUCCCCUUGCCCGCCGCGCGCCAGGCCUGGCCUUCCUUGAGUCGGUGCGCGGGCCGCGAGGAGGAGCCGCUGGCCGGGACCUGCAGCGGGGCUGGCCGGGCUGGUUCGAGCCGGGCCGGGCACGUUGGGGCCGCCAGGUCGGGCGAUGCGGGCCGCGGGGCCAGUCCUGGGCGCCGAGGGGUCAGCGGGGCGCGGGCGGCUGGGUACCGCGGGCUGCACGUGGCCUGCUGCGGUGCCCGCGUGCUGGGUGCCCGCCUGCCGGUGCCCGGGCCUGCCCAGGAGCGUUCCUGGCUGGCGCAGGACGAUGCCCGGGCCGGCCCAGCUCGCCUCGGGCCAGGGUGGAGCCGGACUGAGAGGAGCAGAGACCCUCAGGGACGUGGGGGCUGGACCCGGCUGCGUAGCUAAAGGGGCUGACUUUUAAAGAACCCUGUGAUAAAUCAAGGAAUAACUCCUGGUGGUGCUCGGGGGACCAUGUGGGAUGCUGGGGAUUGAACCCGGGUGGCCGUGUGCAAGGCAAAUGCCCUACCUGCUGUGCUAUCGCUCCCACCAAGUUUUCAUGAGUGCUAGAAGGGGGCAGCUAGGCCCCAGCCCGCAGUGCUGGUGGGAGAUGGAGGUGCCCAGCCACUGGGACUGGUCUCUAGCACCCAGGAGGAAGAUUCGCUUCGGGAUCAUCACAGCAUCGCCGAG